rnacentral:rRNA from 1 species
UGGGGAAUAUUGGUCAAUGGACGCAAGUCUGAACCAGCCAUGCCGCGUGCAGGAUGACGGCCCUACGGGUUGUAAACUGCUUUUCUAUGGGAAUAAACCCCUUUACGUGUAAAGGGCUGAAGGUACCAUAGGAAUAAGGAUCGGCUAACUCCGUGCCAGCAGCCGCGGUAAUACGGAGGAUCCAAGCGUUAUCCGGAUUCAUUGGGUUUAAAGGGUCCGUAGGCGGGUCUUUAAGUCAGUGGUGAAAGCCUGCAGCUUAACUGUAGAAUUGCCAUUGAUACUGGAGACCUUGAGUAUAGUUGAGGUGGGCGGAAUACGUCAUGUAGCGGUGAAAUGCAUAGAUAUGACGUAGAACACCGAUUGCGAAGGCAGCUCACUAAGCUAUAACUGACGCUGAGGGACGAAAGCGUGGGGAGCAAACAGGAUUAGAUACCCUGGUAGUCCACGCUGUAAACGAUGAUUACUCGCUGUUGGCGAUAUAAUGUCAGCGGCUAAC